rnacentral:rRNA from 1 species
GACGAACGCUGGCGGCGUGCCUAAUACAUGCAAGUCGAACGCACAGUUUAUACCGUAGCUUGCUACACCAUAAACUGUGAGUUGCGAACGGGUGAGUCACGCGUAGGUAACCUGCCUGGUAGCGGGGGAUAACUAUUGGAAACGAUAGCUAAUACCGCAUAAUAUUGAUUACUGCAUGAUAAUUGAUUGAAAGAUGCUAUUGCAUCACUACCAGAUGGACCUGCGUUGUAUUAGCUAGUAGGUGAGGUAACGGCUCACCUAGGCGACGAUACAUAGCCGACCGGAAAGGGUGAUCGGCCACACUGGGACUGAGACACGGCCCAGACGCCUACGGGAGGCAGCAGUAGGGAAUCUUCGGCAAUGGACGAAAGUCUGACCGAGCAACGCCGAGUGAGGGAAGAAGGUUGUCGGAUCGUAAAGCUCGGUUGUAAGAGAAGAACGGGUGUGAGAGUGGAAAGUUCACACUGUGACGGUAUCUUAACAGAAAGGGACGGCUAACUACGUG